GCGUUGUUCGGAUUUACUGGGCGUAAAGCGCGCGUAGGCGGCUCGUUAAGUCGGGGGUGAAAUCCUAGAGCUCAACUCCAGAACUGCCUUCGAUACUGGCGAUCUCGAGUCCGGAAGAGGUGAGUGGAACUCCUAGUGUAGAGGUGGAAUUCGUAGAUAUUGGGAAGAACACCGGUGGCGAAGGCGGCGACCUGGUCCUUGACUGACGCUGAGGCGCGAAAGCGUGGGGAGCAAACAGG
rnacentral:rRNA from 1 species